GUUCUCAGUCGUUAUCCUCCUCGGGUUGAAGCCGUGCGUUGUUAUUGCUUGGUAGCAUCGUGUUUGUGCUCCAUGGCCGGCGAUCUCCAUCGGCGUUCAACGACACGGCGUCGUGGGUUUCUAGCAGUCGAACCAGGUUUGGACAUAUGAAGCAAGAUAUUAAGGGACUGUCACGUACUAGGAGUGGUCAACUAACUUAAGAUAAGCAAACUAAUUGGUCUGGACAAUACCCACUUAGUGGGGCGCAUCUCACGAAGAUCCACUUAAUUGAUGUCUUAAAUUUUGCAGGAUGUUGAAAUGCUCAGUGGUCGGCUAACAUGCUAGGUGGUCGGUCGGAGAGCUCACAUUCUAAUUCUAUUGUUUCCAAAGUAUUAAAGAUUAGAGCUCAUAAAGAAGGUACACACCUCGUGUGUUUUCCUUUAAUUUAACUAGUUUUUGAGUUUUGUAGGAUGUGCUCAAUGGUCGGCUUACAACCUCAGCGGUCAGCCUUGGGUCUUAGUAGUAGGCCUUCAACCACGGUGGUCAGCUUUCAGCUUCAAAUGGUCAACAUAUAUUAUCUACUCUACCACCUCUCGGGGGUUGGCCUAUGUUCUCUCUCACCUCUAAGUGGUCGAAUUUCUUGUAGAGGUAGUCGAAUUUUCCACGGAUUUGGUUAGAAGUGAUCAGAUUUCUUAUGGAGGGGGUUGAAUUUCUCGCAAGGGUGGUAGGAAUUCCACUCUAGCUAAAUAUAGCGCUUAUGGUUGUACUCUUUUUCCCUUAGCUAAGUUUUUUUCACUAGGUUUUUCUUAUUCUAAAGUUUUCUCAGCUCUGACUUAAGGGGUUACCCUUAGACCGUUCAGUUUAACGAUUGUGUCCAAAAGGACCACCACAUGAAUGGGCACACCCAUUCAAUGAUUUGUUGGCAAGGAGUAAAACUAGAUGGACAAAAAGGGGAACUUGGUAUUUUGCAGAUAAGCUAAUGGAUGAGGUUUUUAGAAGCAGGGAACUGCGCAGAGAUAUUUUUCCGAGAAGUGAAUUUUUCACUUUUCGUAGGAUUGAAGCAAUUCCAUCAGAAGGUAGAAUUAAAUUAUAAAGUGAAAAAUCAACUUUUCAGUGGAUUGAACAUGUUUUAAUUAUUAUUAUUAUUAUUAUUAUUAUUAUUAUUAUUAUUAUUUUUAUUUUUAUUAUUAUUAUUUUGUUACUAAAGUAUCUUAUUAAAUUUUGAGCUAUGAAAAAAGAAAGACUUGUAAAUUUACCAAAACAUUUUUAAAAAUGAACCAUUUUUACACAUUUUCAUUUUCUAUGAAGGCAUUUAUGUAAUUGAAUGUAAUAUAACUUAAAUGAGUAAAUACCACCUAUGGUCCCUCGAGUUUGGUGGCAUCGCCAUCAAUGGUCCCUAAUUUUUGUAAUUACUGGGCGUCAUCCUCCGAGUUGCGAAAAGUGGCCUUCAAGGGUCCUUCCAUUUGUUGUUCCUGUUUGAGACGUCAAAAUGGAGGGCAAAAGAGUCAUUUGACUUUAUGUGUACGUUUUAAUGCAUUUUACAAUUAUUUAACCGAGCUCUCAUCUUUCGAACGACCGAACCUUAAUCUUCAGAGCAGUUCAUCUUCUUCAUCUUUUUCAAGUAAUUUCAUGAGCAACAAUGUCAUCUUCUUCAAGUACUUCAAGGAGGAGAUAUAAUUUUGGAGAUUCCAUACACAGUCAUGAGUGUCAGUGCGGGAAUCAAGUGGUGCUUCGAAUGUCUUGGACAGAUCGCAAUCCGGGUAGGAGGUUUUGGCAAUGCUCUGAAUUCGGUCAGGGAGGCAACGGUUGUGGUUUCUUUGAUUGGGCAGAUCCUCCAAUGUGUUCACGGGCAAUCAGUAUAAUACCCGAACUUUUGAAGAGGAUAAAUAGAGACAAAGAAGAGAUUGAGAAGUUAAAGGCUAUGCUAGAAGUUGCUACUAAGACAAAUGUAGUCCUGUCUAUGAAAUAUAAAUGUUGCAAAUUCGCAAUUGUAAUCAUCUUUGCAAUUGGAUUCGUAGUUCAUGUGUUUAGCAAAUGUAGUUCUCAAUCAAUCGCAGUUGUCAAAAUGCUUCUAGGCAAUUAAUGUUGUAACCUGAUUUGGACCAUUUAAUGAAAUGUGUUUGAAGUCUUUAGUUAA